rnacentral:rRNA from 1 species
UAGGGAAUCUUCCACAAUGGACGCAAGUCUGAUGGAGCAACGCCGCGUGAGUGAAGAAGGUUUUCGGACCGUAAAGCUCUGUUGUUGGUGAAGAAGGAUAGAGGUAGUAACUGGCCUUUAUUUGACGGUAAUCAACCAGAAAGUCACGGCUAACUACGUGCCAGCAGCCGCGGUAAUACGUAGGUGGCAAGCGUUGUCCGGAUUUAUUGGGCGUAAAGCGAGCGCAGGCGGAAGAAUAAGUCUGAUGUGAAAGCCCUCGGCUUAACCGAGGAAUUGCAUCGGAAACUGUUUUCUUGAGUGCAGAAGAGGAGAGUAGAACUCCAUGUGUAGCGGUGGAAUGCGUAGAUAUAUGGAAGAAUACCAGUGGCGAAGGCGGCUCUCUGGUCUGCAACUGACGCUGAGGCUCGAAAGCAUGGGUAGCGAACAGGAUUAGAUACCCUGGUAGUCCAUGCCGUAAACGAUGAGUGCUAAGUGUUGGAGGGUUUCCGCCCUUCAGUGCUGCAGCUAACGCAUUAAGCACUCCGCCUGGGGGAGUACGACCGCA